rnacentral:miRNA from 1 species
AGUGGUUCUCAUCAGUUCAACA